UCUUCAAAAACCAAAGAAGAAUAGGAUUUGUAAAUUACCAUAAUAAUUCCCUUGAUGAUUUCGUCCGUGUAAAACUCUGGCUCUGUUUCUCUCAACUUCAACAAGUUAUGUAUCAUCAAUUUCUUCACCUCUGCCUCCCUUCCAGCUCCACGAUUUUCAUCAACCAGUUCCUGCAAAAACCUAUCCAUCUUUUUCAUCAACCCCACCAUCUUCUUCUCCACACCCAGCAA